GCAACAGUUGUGCCUGGUUAAAAAAUACUCACAUCCUCACCAUCCUUUGCCGCUAAAGAAAGCUGCCCGUGGCCUAGAUCUGGCCAGUAAGACUGAAGUGAGAGCUUAUUGGCGGGACCUUCAGGAACCAGGCAUGUUCAUGUUGUACACACCCACAUGUCGGCAAAAUACCCAUAUACAGAGAUGAAAAAAUCUCAUCAUCAACAACAACAACAGGACUAUGGAAGGAUGCCUGGUGGACAGCGCCGUUUGCUGCUCCGGAUGGGAGUCCUGGCGGGGUGGAACAGAGUGGAAUGCCCCUGCAGGCUCCUAAUGGCACCUGUCAGGGGAGAUGCCUUAUUGAUAUCUCCUAUACAGGACGUCAUCCACAAGGGAGGGAGCACACAAAGAAAAUGAAAUGCUUCACUAGAUCCAUGCUGGGAACAGAGCCAAGUCCUAACCACAGGCAGCCAGAACGUAUACCACUCCGGACAUUCAGGGCAGAGGCAAGAACUCUGCCAAGCACUUUCCUUUACAAAGUGUGCGACUUAAACUAGUCCAUCAAAUGAUGGCUUUGACAAGGGAGGAUGCCACUGACAGAUCAGUGAGAGGAUUCUUCUGGACUCUUUUCAGCAAAUGCAUCCCAGGAAUUUCAGCUGCGGCCGAGGAUAUGAGAGAAUGUGAAGCAGGUGAGCAGCGGCUUACAUGAGAAUCCAUUUCAAGCACAGACGUGAUGUGGACGUGUUGCAGCUGUGUCUGCUCUGCUCAGCUCAGUUUCUGGAGAUACCAAGUUUCCAAUGAAGGCUUGCACCACCCUGCACGACAAGGCCGCCCACUCCUCUCCAGUUAUGGCUCUGGCUUCAUUUCCCUACCUUUCUUCUCUUCCCCAAUCCACUAGAUAUGUUGACGUCCUGAUGUCCUCUAAGGACUGGUCAGGACACACCAGAACACAAGGAGAUCACAUGACAAGCUUCACACAAAGGCCACUGAAACAUCCUAAAUA